rnacentral:misc_RNA from 1 species
GAUGAAGAACGUAGCGAAAUGCGAUACUUGGUGUGAAUUGCAGAAUCCCGUGAACCAUCGAGUCUUUGAACGCAAGUUGCGCCCGAAGCCAUUAGGCCGAGGGCACGCCUGCCUGGGCGUCACACGUCGUUGCCCCCCCAUCUACUCCUUCGGGAUUGCGGGGAGCGGAUGAUGGCCUCCCGUGCGCCUUGUCGCGCGGUUGGCAUAAAUGCCAAGUCCUCGGCGACGCACGCCACGACAAUCGGUGGUUGCGAAACCUCGGUUGCCCGUCGUGUGCGGUCGUCGCGCAUCGAGGGCUCGAAAAAAGUGUCGGGCUCCGGCUCGGCUUUCAACGCGACCCCAGGUCAGGCGGGGUUACCCGCUGAAUUUAAGCAUAUCAAUAAGCGGAGGA